CCCUAUGGCCAUGCUCUCCUGGAUUGCUGGAUCUCAUCUAAUCCCAGACACUAAGCAGGGCCAGGCCUGGUUAGUACUGGGAUAGGAGGUUCAACUUCCUUAUUGGUACAUGUAUUUUAUUUGCUAUGGGCA
rnacentral:rRNA from 1 species